GCGUUCAACGAGUAUACAACCUUGAUCGAUAGGUCUGGGUAAUCUUCCGAAAGCGCAUCGUGCUAGGGAUAGACUGUUGUAAUUUUCAGUCUUGAACGAGGAAYUCCUAGUAAAUGCAAGUCAUCAGCUUGCGUUGAUUACGUCCCUGCCCUUUGUACACACCGCCCGUCGCACCUACCGAUUGAAUGACUCGGUGAAAAAUUGGGACUGUGAGUCCGUUUGCUUUAUURCAAGUGGAUUGAUGGGAACUUUUUUAAACCUCGCCAUUUAGAGGAAGGUGAAGUCGUAACAAGGUUUCCGUAGGUGAACCUGCGGAAGGAUCAUUA
rnacentral:rRNA from 1 species